UACGAAGGGGGCUAGCGCUGUUCGGAUUUACUGGGCGUAGAGCGCACGUAGGCGGAUCGUUAAGUCGGGGGUGAAAUCCUGGAGCUCAACUCCAGAACUGCCUUCGAUACUGGCGAUCUUGAGUCCGGAAGAGGUGAGUGGAACUCCUAGUGUAGAGGUGGAAUUCGUAGAUAUUAGGAAGAACACCAGUGGCGAAGGCGGCUCACUGGUCCGGUACUGACGCUGAGGUGCG
rnacentral:rRNA from 1 species